rnacentral:lncRNA from 1 species
UUUUCACUUUUUUUUCUUUGGAUUUUUUUUUCUUUUUCUAUUUUUUUUCGUUUUUUUACUUUUCCAUCUCUUGAUUUUAUUUUUAAAAGACGCAUAUCUAUAUCACAUAUACAUAUUCAAAGAAUAUACAAAAUAUAUAGACAUACAAAUCUGCGUAUAUACUUACAGUACAAAACAUACAUAUAUAUAUCUGCAUAUGUAAUUACAGAAAUACAUAUCUGACUCAUAUUAAUAUAUAAAUAUAUAGGAUACAAAAUCUCUAUAACAAAAAGUGGCAUAAUACAUUUACCUAAUUGUGCUUGAACUACACAUUUCUUCUUCAUGAUGUAGACAUCAAAAAUAUUAUUAUGACGAAAAAUAUGCAUCAUCCAUAAAUACAUAUGCGUUAUUCAUAAAUAGAUAUGCAUAACUAGAAAAAUCCAUAUGCAUUUCUGAAAAAAAAUACAUAUGCACACUGAAAAAGUACAUAUGUAUUAUUCAUAAAUACAUAUGCAUCUAUAAAAACCUAAGCAAAACUAAAAAUAUAUUUCCAAAUCAAUAAAUAUAGCAUGCAUCCCUAUAAAAAUAUAUGAAUAACAAAAAAAUACAUAUGUAUUAUUCAAAAAUACAUAUGCAUUAGUCAUAAAUACAUAUGCAAUCUGGUAAAAUAUAUAUGUAUUAUUCAUAAAUACAUAUGCACAACUGAAAAAAUUCAUACUUUUUGUUUUCGUUCGACUUCCUAUUUUUCACAUAUUUUUGUACUUUUUGGAAUUUUGGAGAUGAAGGUUUUCUCAAUAUUUUUCGUUUCAUGAUUUUCCCAAUAUUUUCCAGCUCAUCACAAUGCUUUGAUCUCACCUUUUCUAUGCCAACUUUUCUGUUCAAUUGAAUAGGAGUAGAAAUCAACUUAACACAAAACUCCACAAUUUUUCAACAAAAAAAUCACAAAACUCCAUCAAAUAAUGUAGGAAAAGUUACACCAGACAUCCAUCAAAUAACGUAUCCCUCCAUUAUAGCAGACCUCUACAAUCUUUCAACCAAAAAAAAUUACAACCCCCCUCCCAAAAAAAAAAUGAAAAAGACGAAUAAAGAAAACAAUAUGAAAAAAUAAAAAAAAUAUAAAUUAUAUAAAAAGAUAAUAUGCAAAUACUGUAAAUAUCAACUUACCUUAUUUGAUGGAGCACAAUUUUGAAAAAAAAGAAAAGGAAUUAGGAAAUUAAAAAAAUUGGAGUGAAAUAUUUGGAGGGAAUUGAGAAAAGUGGAGUGAAAUAUGAGAAGGAAUUGAAAAAAGUGGAGUGAAAAUAGGAAAAGUAAAAAAAAUGGGUGAAACCCACGUGCUUUUCAAUAUAAUGUUAAAAUAUUGCAACUUUUGCUAUAACUUGUGAUUUUGAGAAAGUGUUGAUAUUUAUUAUAAUUAAGGUCUUAAGUAUGCUAGUUCUGUAAUUUUUUUUUUCAAUUCUGGCCAGCUCUUUGGGCCUAUUUUUUAGGCUUUUUCAGCCUCUUUCAACAGUGUAUAUCAGAUGUAUAUCACACUCAGUUUCUUCAUGUUUUUGCGUAUAAUUGGCGUAUAUGUGACUGAAAAUCAGUCAUAUACAUCCCCUUUGAUCCUCCAGCUGAAUAUUAGCACUCCUUUUCUCAUAUAUCUCCUGUAUGCCAUGUAUAUUUGCUGUAUAUCUUUGUGUACAGCCUUGAUCCUCAUGCCUUUAGUCCAUUUUGGACUUUGAAGGAAGCUUGACUCGAGGAGUUCGAAUGCGAGGGUAUGGGGAGUCCCAUUGGACUCAUCCGAAAGAGUUCAUGUAAAGAAAAGAACAGAUAAGGAUUAGCCCGCAUCCAAUAAUAGUAGAACAAAGAGCUAAAUAGUAUCUAACAACACCAAACAUCAACUUAAACAAACUAUGAUGAUCAAACACUUAGGUGGAGAUUAUCAGAAGAAAGGCGGCUUGUAUUUUUGUACUAAAGUGUCAAUAACGAACUUUCUGUAAUGCCAAAGAGAUGGCAAAGUUCAGGUUGCAAGAAAAAAAAUCGAAUCUCAACUAUUUGGGCAAAGAAAUGAAAUUCAUCCACUAUUCUUUGCCAUGGAAAGUGUUUUAAGCAUUUCAUGAAAUAAUUAUCAUAUCCUUUUGUAUAGAAAAUCUCCCAUAUAUUCACUCUUGAAUCCUUUGACAAUAUCAAAAUGAAACACACAGGGAACAAACAUUUGGUAUUUCAAACGUAAUGGGUGAAUUAAACAUGAGAUUAUAUAAGUAAAUCAUAGCAGUAUAUAAUUAGAGAGAUGGAUAAAUCUACAGCUUCUAAUCAUCUAUCUCCUAAAAUGAACAAGUCAAAUAAAAAGGAGGAACAGAGGUGUAGAUCAUGGACGAAUAUUUUGGAUAAAACAGCUAAUUCCUACUAUUUUAAGACAUUAAGUUAACCAUAAUUAGUCAUAGAAUAGGUAUGCGUGACAGAAAGAAGUCAUAGAUGUACAACAUGAUAUCUAUCUACUUAGGGAUUGAUUUAUCUCUAGUCUAACAAAUAAAAUUAACACUACAUCCAGUUAAUGGUUUACAGAAAGAGGUAUCCUCUAUUUCUCAACAAAACAAGAAAAUUAAUCAAGAGAAAUGCCCUUAUCAGAUUAGUCGGAAGGGAAUCAAGCUACCAUUUUUAUAUAAGAAAGAAAAUCAGUCGAACAAAAACGAGUCACAAUCAUACCCACGAAGAGUCGCGAGAGGUCGAGUUUCAAAGGAGAAAUAAGAGAUAUUGUGGAGCUCUAUUUCACCUCUUAAUAGAUUCCACUUCGCAGGAUAAACAAUCAUACUGAAACAGUAAAAUUCCUACACCCAGAUGAACACCAGACGAGUCUAUGCAACCAAUAAAUAAUCAAUGAACCCGAUGAUAUUAUCACACAUAACGGUUUUAAACCAACAAAUCUAAAAGGGAGAAAAGAUCACAGACGCAAUAAAACAAGAAAUAGAAAACAGGAAAAAUGAAAUAAAUGAGUGAUUUACCUUUUUGAGAGCAGUCAACUGAGACGACGGGCUUUGAUCGAAAUCCUUCACCAUCACCCAAAAGUUACGAGUUUUCUUUACCAAAAUCUAGGCUCAAGGAGUCUUUAUAGGACCUUUUUGGAGAGGAAAAUGAGUCAAAAAGACCCCUCAAGUAUUCAAUUAAGAAAAGGGAUAAGUAG